rnacentral:siRNA from 1 species
AUUUCUAAACCGACCGAACCAGU